CGCGGACUCGAUUCUUUCUUACUCUCGUCGCUCGAGCUGUCAUCCUCGAAGUCGAGAUUUCGAAUCAUCGAUCGCGAAUUGUGAUUUGUUGAGGGAUUCGAGCCCGUCGAUCGGCGAUCGCCCUGACCCAACGGGCCAUAUUUCAGUGCCGGCAUAACAAGGACUGUAGUAUGUGAACUUUCCUGAGCUGUCGCAAACCGGUCGAAAAUCGGAAUCUUUUGAGCAACGACAAUUCUUGUUGCAGUAUUUCAACAGUCCAUUGCUAUACGAAAAUAGUUUUGUAACAUCUUAUUCAAGCUGAUAUUGAAAUAACUCGCAUUGAAAGAGCGUUUUAUCUUUAUGCAUAUUAAGAGAAGCCUCGAUUAAUCUUACUGGUGAUUAGUCUAGACGACAGAGGAUCGCUAAAUCCAAGGAGCAUUCCUGUCGGUCUUGAAUGACGGCCAAAAAUCGGAGCUACCCACCUUCUGAGCGCUCGUUCGAUGAGGUGCUCGAUUAUUUAUAGCAGACUGAUCAAAAAGUGAAGCUGCAGCUUGCUCGACAACCUAAAAUAAAUUUUAUGUAAAGCCAAUUAAUUACCACUGAGGGUAAUCUUCGGGGAAACCACGAGAGUAACAAACCAGGGAUCACCAAUAAUAUAGAUAAGAUCGGAAAUCCAAGCCACCAUGCUCCGAUUUGAUCCUGAUAUGAUUUUAUGAUGUCGAAAUUUUCCGCGUCUAUCCUAAACGAAUCGAUAAGUCAAAAAAUAAAUAUGCAUUUUUUUCUGUACAUUAUAACAUACAAUUAAUUUACAAGUAUAUUCAAUUUUGAAGAAUUUUAAGGCAUACAUUACAAUAAUAAUUAUUUAUUUAUUCGAAAAUAUGUCAAACUUACCCAAGACAUCCCCAGCCUAGAAAAUAUCCGAAAACUACUCCAAUAAUUUUUACAGCGACAAUUACACCGAUGAAGGCGGUCACGUGCUUCAUUUUUGUAUUAUCGUCCAAAUAGGAAAUUCCUAGGGCGUAAUAUGAUAUAUUUGCUGCUCCAGUUACAAUCGAUACUAAAAUCAGGAUGGCCAUAGUAAAGUAGCAAGAGCUUUACAUCCCGAGCAUACUGACCGGCAUAUAAUGACAUGUGAGUGACAUUAAGCGUUUCUUCAAUCACGCGAACGCGAUGUGUUAAAUGAGGUAUUAUCAAUAUGAAGAACGAAACGCUCUGUAAAAGGGUUAAAGCUCCUAUC